GACGUAGGGUGCGAGCGUUGUCCGGAUUUAUUGGGCGUAAAGAGCUCGUAGGCGGCUCGUCGCGUCGACCGUGAAAACCCGCGGCUUAACUGCGGGCUUGCGGUUGAUACGGGCGGGCUAGAGUUCGGUAGGGGAGACUGGAAUUCCUGGUGUAGCGGUGAAAUGCGCAGAUAUCAGGAGGAACACCAAUAGCGAAGGCAGCUCGCUGGGACGUUACUGACACUGAGGCGCGAAAGCGUGGGGAGCGAACAGG
rnacentral:rRNA from 1 species